UUUGGGGAUUUAGUUUGUAGGUUUUGAUCUAGUUUAGUGGUGGGCUUUCCCUGGCACUGGGAUGGGGUGCUGCUGACCAUGCAAAAUCCUCCUGCUCCAUGUCCCAGCACCAUCUCAGUGCUGUCACCAGGGCCAUUGUGAUGUGCCAACCUCCAAAUCCAUCUUUCGAUUUUCUUCUUGGGGCCUCACAUCCCUGUUGGUCACUACAGCUGCCCAGGGCCAGGCGAAGUUUGGUGUUGCAGACCCCUGAUGGGGUGAGAGGCUUCAGGAAGCCUCUUGCGCCACAUGUGCUUCCUAAAGCACAGGUUUAGGGCCUGUGACUCACUGGCACCUGUGUCCCCCCUGCUUCCCCCCAAUGACCAGGCAGCUCCUGAGUCCGGCAGCCCCUGCCACAGGCUGCUGGACCAUCCGUGGGCAGGAACUGCCCCCAUGCCAUUCCCACCACUAGGAUGGAGCGAGGGCGCACGGUGCAGCCGAGCAGCCAUGGGAGGUGGAUUCAGUUACUGUCACCCGGUGCAAACACUUUUUUUUUUCUUCUCUCUUUUCUUCUCUUUCUUUUUUUUUUUUUUUUUUUUUUUUUUUUGCACAAGCAUGUUUGUUGCUGUCAGCAGCAAAGCCCAAGAGAGCGUAACCGGCUGCGGUCGGGCUGCAGGGCGGCACUGGGUGGGACCAGCACCGUUAUCUGCUCCGCUGCGACAGCUCUUCCUGUGGUGGAGCCACGUGGGCAGGAUGGGGUUAAAAGCAGCCCUGUGCCCCGUAGGAGCCCAUUGCUCCCCAGCCAGCACCCCAUGCACGACACCAGCAGCAGCACCCAGCACGGGCCACCAGCACCUGGCUUGGGCCACCAGCACCUGGCACUCACCUCCAUGGCUGGUGUGGACCACCGGCACCUGCAUGGGUCACCCACAACCCAGCAUGGGCCACCCACACCCAGCGAAGGCCACCCACGCCCUGACCCGGUAACAGGGACCCAGCGAGGCGCCCGUGCGGUGCUGGAGGACCAGCAUGGGGUGGCCAGGGGCGCUGGCAUCUGUGGCUCUGAUGCCACCGUGAGGGGGCAGUGGGUGCCAGGGGCCAAUGACAGGAGGUGACUCUGCCAGAGGCUCUCUGUCCUGGGGCCAGAUCACACCUGCCAUUCCUGUCCUUGGCCAUAUCAAGGCCAGAGGUGCCCCAUGGCAGGGCCCUGUGCGGGGGCAUGGCACUGGCCCUGUGUGGGGGAAGGAACUCCGCGCCGGAGGAGAGCGGCCGCCGACAGCGACUCAGAGACAGUGCAGUCACCCAUAAAGUAGAAAGCACUACUAAACAGCACUGCAGGGUGUAGUGUUUCCUACUUUAUGGAUGAGUGUACUGUGGGCUACGGAGAAGAGAGCACGGAGCAGCACCAGACCCACGAGCCCACCGAGAGCCGCCGCAGGCCAAGAGCGGCCCCUGGCCCUGCCUGGCUCAGGGCACCCACCCAGAGCUCCUCCACACUCCUGCGGAUGCUCUGCUUGUCUCCACGUGUCCCCCUGGCACCUGGGAUGGCCACGUGGGCAGAGGGGCUGCCAGCCCAGUGUCCCAUGUGUGCCACUGAAGGGACCCACCCCAUUGGAGUAACCCUCCCACCGGGAGGCCAGGUAGACAGCAGAGACUCCAAAGCACAUUUUAUUCCCCCAUCUUCAUUUUCCACGUGGCAAAGCCCUGGGAAGAGCUGGGCAGUGGCGGCCACAUGCAGCACGGGACACAAAGUGGGGUUCCUGGUGAUUGCUGGGUUCAGCGGGGUGAGUGACUGCUAAAUAAAACUCUUGGUAUAGACUUGUGGAUUUUUUUAUGCCAUUCCUGGGAAAUGCAGAACUGGGGAAGAGCUCUUUGCCGUGCCCAGAGCCACGUGCAGUGGGGUCAUUCCAGAUUUGGAGCCUUGGGGAGCCUUGAGAACACCACAGCUGGGGAUGGUGGCCAGCAAAUCUCAGCCCAUUGACACAGAACUGUCCCCUUUGGCCCUUCGAGGGUCACCAGCAAAGUUGCUGUGUCUCAUGGCAGCCCUGGCCAUGGUGACAAAGCCACGUGAAGCCAAAAAUUCCUCCUACAAUCCCAGUCUCCCUCUAUCCACACACCCCUGAGCUGUGUUUCCUGGGGUUCUAAAACCAACCCAGCUUCCACAGAGGAGGUUUGGUCCUUGUUCCCAAAUGUCAGCUCUCAAAACCCCUUCAGGCGUCUUCCCUUUGACUCCUACCUGUGGGAGAGAGGAUCUAAAAAUAGUAGAAAAAUACUAAAAAUACUUUUUUCUUUUUAAUUAUUUUUUUAACCCAAAUGUCAGUGGAAAAUUUUUAUGUUUUGUAAAACUUCUUAUGCUGGUCUCGGGAUCAUUUGCAGCGGGGAGGGAUUUGGUACUGAAUUUUUUGUGUUUUCCUUUUACUGAGCUGUCCAGAAAGGACUGGGUGUUUUACUUAUUGCUGUCCCAGCUUUCCCAUGUUCCUUGGAUUUGUGGCUGUUCAAAGGGGAUGUGGAAGGAAAAAAAAAAAAAAUCAAAACUGUCGUCAUGGUCACAAGGAGACAAGUUUUUAAACAGUAAAAAUGAAAAAGGGCUAAAAAAAACCCAAGCAACCACUGUGGACUGUCCUAAGCAGCUUUCAGUUUGUGAGCACCGGGACGGAAAAGCAAAUUCACAUUUUUAAUAUGCAAAAGCUUUGAAAAUUUACAUCCUAAUAAGGUGCAUUCAAGUAUUAGGAAGGAUAAAUGAAUGCCCAGUUUUCAUGACCAAGGUCUAAUGUGGUUACAGCUACUACUCAGUGGUCACUGCUGAGAGAGACGGUUAGAAACAUGGUUCUUGCUGAGAGCAGCAAAACAGAAACUGCUAUUUCUUCCUGGUGGUUUUUUGUUGUUGUUGUUGUUUUGGUGUUUUUUUUCUUAAUAAAGUCCUCAUUUUUUCCUA